AAAGGCCUGUGAUGAAUAAAAUAUUGCCUACAUUGUCUGAUUAUAUCUAACAUGAAGAAAAAAAUCAUCUACUUCUGAGGCCUUU